rnacentral:snoRNA from 1 species
GCUAGGAUCACAAGUGUGAGCCAUCAGCUGUAUUUAAAAAGCUUUUUACCCCUCUGGGUCUCUCAUAGUGUCCCAUGCCACAGCAAACUGUAGCUCUGAACCAUUGCCUCACCUCUGCCUGUGGCUGCUGGCACUGGAGUGAGUUGCAUGGUG